rnacentral:rRNA from 1 species
UGCGGUUAUACAAAAAUUAAAUUAAUUUUUAUUAGAAUUUAAUAAAUAAAAUUAAUUAAUAAAUAACUUAAAUUUUAAAUUAUAAAGUGAAAUUUUAAUUUAAUUAAAAUUUAUUUUUUUUUAUGACAUUAAUAAAUUUUAUAAAAAACUAGGAUUAGAUACCCUAUUAUAAAAAUUUAAAUUUAAUAAUUCUAAAAUAGUAUAUAAUUUAUAGAAACUUAAAUAAUUUGGCGGUAUUUUAGUUCAUUUAGAGGAAUCUGUCUAAUAAUUGAUAAUCCACGAUUAAAUUUACUUAAUUUAUAAUUUUGUAUAUCGUUGUUAAAAAAAUAUUUUUAAAUAAAUAUAAUAUUUUAAAAUUUAAAUAAAAAAUUAAAUCAGAUCAAGAUGCAGAAUAUAAUUAAGAAUAUGAUGGAUUACAAUAAAUUUUAUUUUAUUUUGGAUAUUAAUUUGAAAUAAAUUAAUUGAAAUUGGAUUUAAAUGUAAUUUUAUUUAUUUUUUUAAAAUGAUUUUAAAUUAAAAUAUGUACAUAUUGCCCGUCGCUUUCAUUUAUAAAUUGAAAUAAGUCGUAACAAAGUAGAGGUACUGGAAAGUGUUUCUAGAAAGAU